rnacentral:rRNA from 1 species
UACGUAGGGGGCAAGCGUUAUCCGGAUUUACUGGGUGUAAAGGGAGCGUAGACGGGAUUGCAAGUCUGAUGUGAAAAUCCGGGGCCCAACCCCGGAACUGCAUUGGAAACUGUAUUUCUAGAGUGUCGGAGAGGCAAGUGGAAUUCCUGGUGUAGCGGUGAAAUGCGUAGAUAUCAGGAGGAACACCAGUGGCGAAGGCGGCUUGCUGGACGAUGACUGACGUUGAGGCUCGAAAGCGUGGGGAGCAAACAGG